UACGUAGGGGGCUAGCGUUGUCCGGAAUCAUUGGGCGUAAAGAGCGUGUAGGCGGCCCGGUAAGUCCGCUGUGAAAGUCGGGGGCUCAACCCUCGAAUGCCGGUGGAUACUGUCGGGCUAGAGUGCGGAAGAGGCGAGUGGAAUUCCUGGUGUAGCGGUGGAAUGCGCAGAUAUCAGGAGGAACACCGAUAGCGAAGGCAGCUCGCUGGGACGGUACUGACGCUGAGGCGCGAAAGCGUGGGGAGCGAACAGG
rnacentral:rRNA from 1 species